rnacentral:lncRNA from 1 species
CCUACCUUGUCGGGACAAUCGUGUAUUGCCCGUUGACCUUGCUGCGCUGCCGCCUCCUGGUGCAGGAGGAGCACAAAGGACGAGCGCUAGCAUUGCCGCUCCUGGGCCAGCUCGAGCCAUCCCCAACACCCCGGUGAAGUCCACAAGCCCCGGCCAGCAGCUGCCGCAAGUGGCCUCGCCCCGGCGGACCCGUCUAUUCCUCGCCCUGUGCACUGUAUAGAUGUUAAGCGACCGUGGAUAGACCCAGCCCAUUAGCUAGAUUCAGCCUGCGAUGUAUUUUAUUCUGCACCGAAUUUAUU